UUUACAUUGCCUCUCCUCACAGGCAGGAAUCUGGCUAUCACUCAUCCUCCUGGAUCUCCAAGUGCUGGGUCAGCUGACCUCCAAAGCUCCAGGAUCUGAACACAAAGAAAAUAAAAACGCCCUGGAAGACAAGUGUGAUGCAUUGAGGUCUGUGAAAGCCACAAAGGAAGCAAAAGUCAAACAGCUGAAGGAGAAAGCAUAUAACCUGGAAGAAUUCUAUGAACAAAGAAAAGUGCCUACAAAAAAGAAGCUGAAAAUGACACUGUGAACUGGCGGCAAAGAAGAAUCAGCUGGCAGCUGCAGAUCUCAAGUAGUGGCCAGACUGUGUGGAAACUUUGUCCAUGCUAACAUUCCUCGGGGGUGGUGUCAAUUGUCAUAAUAUGUAGGAAAGCAGUGUGUCGUACAAUGAAUCAUACCCAUCAAUGUGGUAGUACCACUUCAUGGCCCUCGUCUUUGCAACCCUGGGAAACAUGGUGAGGACAUAAGUUAUAGA